CAUACUUUUCUCUUGUUUUCUAUAUAUAGGCUGGGGAUGUUUUUAAAAUCCUCCCACCAACCUGCCAAAUCACAGGAUGGAGUUCUCAGUGUUUCCUUUCCAUUGAAUGUUUUGCCACAUGCAAACUUUCAUCUUCUUCUCAGUAUACUUUUGGGUUCUGCUAGGCUUACUUUCAAAGGUUAAAGUAAUGGAGUGUACUGGAGUCAGGAAAGCUCAGUGUUGGUUCACCAGCACUGCAUUUCUGCACCAGUCAUAGCUGAUAAGUUCAAAAUCACAUCAGCAAUCUGAACAGCAAAACUGGCACCAGCCUGUUUCAGCUGCUUGCUGUUAAUGCUUGAAGAGAAGCAAGAUGCACUGAAUUGCAGGAUGGGCAGUGGC